GACGAACGCUGGCGGCGUGCUUAACACAUGCAAGUCGAACGGAAAGGCCCUGCUUUUGUGGGGUGCUCGAGUGGCGAACGGGUGAGUAACACGUGAGUAACCUGCCCUUCACUUUGGGAUAACUUUAGGAAACUGGGGCUAAUACCGGAUAGGAGCUCAUGUUGGAUGGUGGGGGUUGGAAAGUUUCGGCGGUUGGGGAUGGACUCGCGGCUUAUCGGCUUGUUGGUGGGGUGGUGGCUUACCAAGGCUUGGACGGGUAGCCGGCCUGGGAGGGUGACCGGCCACAUUGGGACUAAGAUACGGCCCAGACUCCAACGGGGGGCAGCAGGGGGAAAUAUUGCACAAUGGGCCGAAGCCUGUGGCAGCAACGCCGGGUGCGGGAGGACGGCCUUCGGGUUGUAAACCGCUUCCGCCUGUGACGAAGCGUGAGUGACGGUAAUGGGUGAAGAAGCACCGGCUAACUACGUG
rnacentral:rRNA from 1 species